AAUCAACGCUGGCGGCGUGCCUCAGACAUGCAAGUCGAACGCGAAAGUCCCCUUCGGGGGACAAGUAGAGUGGCGCACGGGUGAGUAACACGUAGGUAAUCUACCUUCGGAUGGGGAAGUAACAAUCGGAAACGGUUGCUAAUACCGCAUAAUGCAGCGGCACCUAAUGGUGACAGUUGUUAAAGCGGGGGAGUCGAAAGACCUCGCGUCUGAAGAGGAGCCUGCGGCGGAUUAGCAGUUGGUAAGGUAAUGGCUUACCAAGGCGACGAUCCGUAACCGGCCUGAGAGGGCGGUCGGUCACACUGACACUGACAUACGGGUCAGACUCCUACGGGAGGCAGCAGUCGGG
rnacentral:rRNA from 1 species